rnacentral:rRNA from 1 species
CGAUGAGUAGGGCGGGACACGUGACAUCCUGUCUGAAUAUGGGGGGACCAUCCUCCAAGGCUAAAUACUCCUGACUGACCGAUAGUGAACCAGUACCGUGAGGGAAAGGCGAAAAGAACCCCGGCGAGGGGAGUGAAAUAGAACCUGAAACCGUGUACGUACAAGCAGUGGGAGCACCUUCGUGGUGUGACUGCGUACCUUUUGUAUAAUGGGUCAGCGACUUAUAUUUUGUAGCAAGGUUAACCGUAUAGGGGAGCCGUAGGGAAACCGAGUCUUAACUGGGCGAAUAGUUGCAAGGUAUAGACCCGAAACCCGGUGAUCUAGCCAUGGGCAGGUUGAAGGUUGGGUAACACUAACUGGAGGACCGAACCGACUAAUGUUGAAAAAUUAGCGGAUGACUUGUGGCUGGGGGUGAAAGGCCAAUCAAACCGGGAGAUAGCUGGUUCUCCCCGAAAGCUAUUUAGGUAGCGCCUCGUGAACUCAUCUUCGGGGGUAGAGCACUGUUUCGGCUAGGGGGCCAUCCCGGCUUACCAAACCGAUGCAAACUCCGAAUACCGAAGAAUGUUAUCACGGGAGACACACGGCGGGUGCUAACGUCCGUCGUGAAGAGGGAAACAACCCAGACCGCCAGCUAAGGUCCCAAAGUCAUGGUUAAGUGGGAAACGAUGUGGGAAGGCAUAGACAGCCAGGAUGUUGGCUUAGAAGCAGCCAUCAUUUAAAGAAAGCGUAAUAGCUCACUGGUCGAGUCGGCCUGCGCGGAAGAUGUAACGGGGCUAAACCAUGCACCGAAGCUGCGGCAGCGACGCUUAGGCGUUGUUGGGUAGGGGAGCGUUCUGUAAGCCGUUGAAGGUGGCCUGUGAGGGUUGCUGGAGGUAUCAGAAGUGCGAAUGCUGACAUAAGUAACGAUAAAGCGGGUGAAAAGCCCGCUCGCCGGAAGACCAAGGGUUCCUGUCCAACGUUAAUCGGGGCAGGGUGAGUCGACCCCUAAGGCGAGGCUGAAAAGCGUAGUCGAUGGGAAACAGGUUAAUAUUCCUGUACUUGGUGUUACUGCGAAGGGGGGACGGAGAAGGCUAGGCUAGCCGGGCGACGGUUGUCCCGGUUUAAGCGUGUAGGGGG